rnacentral:pre_miRNA from 14 species
GGUGUUUGGAAUGAGGUUUGUUCCAAGAUCAUCACACAUCAUGUUUCUUCUUCCCUUUCAAUAAUUCUUGAUUAAUUUAUGUUCAUACAUCUAUAUAUAUAUCUAUAUAUAUUAUCAAGUCAUUACAUGCAUGGGAUGAGAUAUUGAGAGUGAUCUCGGACCAGGCUUCAUUCCUCACACC